rnacentral:rRNA from 1 species
ACAGCAGCCGCCACGGGAAUACGUAGGUGGCGAGCGUUGUCCGGAUUUAUUGGGCGUAAAGCGAGCGCAGGCGGUCAAUUAAGUCUGAUGUGAAAGCCCCGGCUCAACCGGGGAGGGUCAUUGGAAGCUGGUUGACUUGAGUGCAGAAGAGGAGAGUGGAAUUCCAUGUGUAGCGGUGAAAUGCGUAGAUAUAUGGAGGAACACCAGUGGCGAAGGCGACUCUCUGGUCUGUAACUGACGCUGAGGCUCGAAAGCGUGGGUAGCAAACAGGAUUAGAUACCCCAGUAGUCCCUGUCUCUUAUACC